rnacentral:tRNA from 1 species
GCAGAUGUGGUGGAAUUGGUAGACACGCCAGCUUCAGGUGCUGGUGCCCGCAAGGGCGUGGAAGUUCAAGUCUUCUCAUCUGUACCA